ACUCGAAAAAUGGAUCUCUAAAGUCGCAGGAACAACCUCAUCCAUAAAAGAAGACUAAUGAAACCAACCUCAUGCUAUUCCGACACUCGAGCGCGAAACAAGCACGAUUUCUGCGAAUCCGCCUCUUACGGAAACGAUCAUAACUUGAGUUCCGAUUGUCCAAUUGAGACGCACCAAUAAUAGUUGGAAAUCUAACGACGAUAUCUACAACUUUCAUGUUGACCAUAAAAACCAAAUCAAAACGCAAAGGGGGCAAAAAGGCACGUAUACGUUCAGACUUCACACAAAACAGUUUUUCUACACUUGUUUUCAACGCAACGUGCUUACGAAUUUGAAAAACGACUCAAUUGACUUCAAC
rnacentral:lncRNA from 1 species